rnacentral:rRNA from 1 species
AUUGAACGCUGGCGGCAGGCCUAACACAUGCAAGUCGAGCGAGCGGCGGACGGGUGAGUAAUGUCUUGGAAACUGCCUUAUGGAGGGGGAUAACUACUGGAAACGGUAGCUAAUACCGCAUACCAUCAGAUGUGCCCAGAUGGGAUUAGCUAGUCGGUGGGGGAACGGCUCACCUAGGCGACGAUCCCUAGCUGGUCUGAGAGGAUGACCAGCAACAAUGGAACCGAGAGACGGUCCAGACUCAUACGGGAGGCAGCAGUGGGGAAUAUUGCACAACGGGCGCAAUCCUGAUGCAGCCAUGCAGAAUGUGUGAAGAAGGCCUUCGGGUUGUAAAGUACUUUCAGCGGGGAGGCGUUACCCGCAGAAGAAGCACCGGCUAACUCCGUGCCAGCCGCCGCGGUAAUAC